AUUCGCAGUUUAGCCGUAUAAAAGCUUAUACUUAGACAUGCAUGGCUUAAUCUUUAAGACAAGCAUAUGA